AUACAGAGGGUGCGAGCGUUAAUCGGAAUUACUGGGCGUAAAGCGCGCGUAGGCGGCUUGGUCAGUCGGAUGUGAAAGCCCCGGGCUUAACCUGGGAAUUGCAUUCGAUACUGCUAGGCUAGAAUGUAGUAGAGGGAAGUGGAAUUCCGGGUGUAGCGGUGAAAUGCGUAGAUAUCCGGAGGAACAUCAGUGGCGAAGGCGACUUCCUGGACUAACAUUGACGCUGAGGUGCGGAAGCGUGGGGAGCAAACAGGAUUAGAUACCCGAGUAGUCC
rnacentral:rRNA from 1 species